GGCGUUUUGAUAAUAAUUUAAGGUCGGGCCUGCCCAAUGAAUUUUAAAUGGCCGCGGUAUAUUAACCGUGCAAAGGUAGCAUAAUCAUUAGUUUUUUAAUUAAAAGCUGGGAUGAAGGGUUUAAUGAAAAAAUUACUGUCUCUAUCUAAAUUUAUUAGAAAUUUAUUUUUAAGUAAAAAAGCUUAAAUAAUUAUUAAAGACGAGAAGACCCUAUAGAGUUUGAUAUUUAAUGAAUUUAUUGUAUUUAGGAUUUUUAAAUUAUUUUCUAAAAAUAUUUGAUUGGGGUGAUUGAAAAAUUAAAAUAACUUUUUUUUUAAUAAACAUUAAUUUAUGAUUAAUUGAUCCUUUUUUUAGAUUAGAAGACAAAAUUACCUUAGGGAUAACAGCGUAAUUUUUUUUUAAAGUUCUUAUUGAAAGAAAAGAUUGCGACCUCGAUGUUGGAUUAAAAUUAAAUUUCUGGUGUAGAAGCUAGGCAAUUAGGUCUGUUCGACCUUUAAAAUUUUACAUGAUCUGAGUUUAGACCGGUGUGAG
rnacentral:rRNA from 1 species